rnacentral:rRNA from 1 species
UACAGAGACUGCAAGCGUUAUUCGGAUUCACUGGGCGUAAAGCGUGCGCAGGCGGUUUUGUAAGCCAGGUGUGAAAUCCCCGGGCUCAACCUGGGAAUGGCAUUCGGGACUGCAAGGCUGGAGUGCGGCAGAGGAGACUGGAAUUCCUGGCGUAGCAGUGAAAUGCGUAGAUAUCAGGAGGAACACCGAUGGCGAAGGCAGGUCUCUGGGCUGACACUGACGCUCAUGCACGAAAGCGUGGGGAGCAAACAGG